UAGGGAGCAAGCGUUAUCCGGAUUUAUUGGGUGUAAAGGGUGCGUAGACGGGAAAUUAAGUUAGUUGUGAGAUCCCUCGGCUCAACUGAGGAACUGCAACUAAAACUGGUUUUCUUGAGUGUUGGAGAGGAAAGCGGAAUUCCUAGUGUAGCGGUGAAAUGCGUAGAUAUUAGGAGGAACACCAGUGGCGAAGGCGGCUUUCUGGACAAUAACUGACGUUGAGGCACGAAAGUGUGGGGAGCAAA
rnacentral:rRNA from 1 species